UACGUAGGCAGCGAGCGUUGUUCGGAGUUACUGGGCGUAAAGGGUGUGUAGGCGGUUGUUUAAGUUUGGUGUGAAAUCUCCCGGCUCAACUGGGAGGGUGCGCCGAAUACUGAAUGACUUGGAGUGCGGGAGAGGUGAGUGGAAUUCCUGGUGUAGCGGUGAAAUGCGUAGAUAUCAAGAGGAACACCUGAGGUGAAGACGGGUUGCUGGGCUGACACUGACGCUGAGGCGCGAAAGCUAGGGGAGCAAACGGG
rnacentral:rRNA from 1 species